rnacentral:misc_RNA from 1 species
AGCUGGGACUAUGAAUCCUCUAACAUAUUUAAGAGUUCUCGGGCCAGAACCGUGGAAUGUUGCGUAUGUAGAACCUAGUAUUCGUCCAGAUGAUAGCCGUUAUGGAGAAAAUCCAAAUAGGCUUCAAAGGCAUACCCAAUUUCAGGUGAUUUUGAAGCCUGAUCCAGGAAACUCGCAGGACCUGUUCAUCCGUAGCUUGUCAGCAUUAGGUAUUGAUGUCAAUGCACAUGAUAUUCGGUUUGUUGAGGACAACUGGGAGAGCCCUGUGCUUGGUGCCUGGGGAUUGGGCUGGGAGGUAUGGAUGGAUGGAAUGGAAAUCACACAAUUCACCUACUUCCAGCAGGCUGGAAGUAUUCAGUUGAUGCCAGUCUCUGUUGAGAUCACUUAUGGGCUUGAACGUAUCCUUAUGUCACUUCAGGGCGUUGAUCAUUUUAAAAAGAUUCAGUAUGCAGAUGGCAUUACAUAUGGAGAGCUUUUUCUGGAAAAUGAGAAGGAGAUGAGUGCUUAUUAUCUGGAGCAUGCUAGUGUUGACCAUAUACAUAAACAUUUUGAUCUUUUUGAAGCAGAAGCUCGCCGUUUGCUUGAUCUAGGCCUUGCAAUACCUGCCUUUUGAAGACUUCUCAUGCUUUUAACGUUUUAGACUCGAGAGGCUUUGUUGGGGUGACAGAACGUGCUCGUUAUUUUGGGCGUAUGCGGAGUUUAGCUCGUCAAUGCGCACAACUUUGGUUGCAGACAAGGGAGUCUCUUGGCCAUCCACUAGGUGUUGUUUCUCAUAGUGAUCAUCUUAUUGUUCAAAGAGAAGUCUCGGAGGAAGCAACGGGAAAGGUGCCUUCAGAGCCACGAUUGUUUGUUCUUGAAAUUGGGACUGAGGAGUUACCUCCAAAUGAUGUAUCAAGUGCAUGCAAACAACUCAAGGAUCUGAUUGUUCAGUUACUGGACAAACAAAGGUUGCUUCAUGGGGAAGUACAAACACAUGGCACUCCACGUAGAGUAGUGGUUAGUGUUGAGAAGCUACACCCUAAGCAAGUUGAACAUGAGGUAGAGAUUCGUGGACCUCCUGUUUCUAAAGCUUUUGAUACGGAAGGAAAUCCUACCAAGGCUGCUGAAGGUUUUUGUCGCAGAAAUAAUGUGCCCUUAGACUCCAUGUACAGACGAGCCGAAGGGAAAACAGAAUAUGUCUAUGUUCGUUUGGUGGAGCCAGCACGGCUUGCAUUCGAGGUUUUGUCUGAAGAGUUACCUGAUAUAAUUGCCAGCAUAUCAUUCCCCAAGUCAAUGCGUUGGAACUCUGAUGUUGCAUUCAGCAGACCCAUUCGUUGGAUUUUGGCCCUUCAUGGAGGUGUAGUUCUUCCCUUCAUGUAUGCUGGAGUUGUAAGUGGAAAUGUAUCUCAUGGUCUACGCAAUACUCCAUCAGCUACAGUUAAGAUAUUGGAUGCAGAAGCCUAUGCAAAUGUAAUGCAGGAUGCUGGGAUUCUUGCUGAUGUCGAGCAUCGCAAGAAAACAAUUACAGAGAAAUCAAAUGAUUUAGCAAAAAGUGUACAUGGACAUAUUGUAAUGAAGAGUGAUUUGCUUGAUGAGGUUGUGAAUCUUGUUGAGGCACCACUCCCUGUACUUGGCAAAUUCAAUGAGUCCUUCUUAGAGCUUCCAAAGGAGCUACUUAUAAUGGUGAUGCAGAAGCAUCAGAAAUACUUCGCCAUGACUGAUGAGAAUGGGUUACUGUUGCCAUACUUUGUCACAGUUGCAAAUGGAUCAAUUGAUAACAAGGUAGUUAGAAAAGGAAAUGAAGCUGUGCUAAGAGCUCGAUUUGAAGAUGCAAAAUUUUUCUAUGCAAUGGACACAAAUAGAAAAUUUUCUGAAUUUCGUACGCAACUGAAAGGGAUUCUUUUCCAUGAGAAGCUUGGGACUAUGUUAGAUAAGAUGACACGAGUUCAGAAUUUGGCUAGUGAAGUUGGAUUGUCUCUUGGAAUAAGUGAAGACAAACUCGAAGUCAUCCAAGAUGCAGCCUCAUUAGCCAUGGCGGAUCUUGCAACUGCAGUUGUUACAGAGUUCACUUCUCUUUCAGGGACAAUGGCACGCCACUAUGCACUUAGAGAUGGCUAUUCAACGGAGAUUGCAGAGGCUUUGUUUGAGAUCUUACUUCCACGAUUUUCUGGAGAUAUGCUCCCAAAGACCGAAGUUGGGUCUGUUUUGGCUAUUACUGAUAGGCUUGAUAGCAUUGUUGGCUUAUUUGCUGCUGGCUGUCAGCCAAGCUCAAGUAAUGAUCCAUUUGGCCUGCGACGGAUCUCCUACGGUCUUGUGCAACUCUUGGUUGAAAUUGACAGAAAUGUGGACUUACGACAGGCUUUAGAACUUGCUGCUGCAGUGCAACCCAUUGAAGUUGAUGUCAGUACAAUCAAUGAUGUACAUCAAUUUGUAACACGCAGACUAGAACAAUUUCUGAUGGACAAAGGUAUAAGCCCAGAAGUCGUUAGGUCUGUUCUUUCCGAGCGUGCAAGACGACCUGGUUUGGCGACUAAGUCAGUGUACAAAAUGGAGUCCUUGUCCAAAGGGGAGCUUUUGCCUAAGGUUGUUGAAGCAUAUUCACGUCCAACAAGAAUUGUUCGCGGGAAGGAUGCCAAUGUUGAUGUGGAGGUGGAUGAUCAAGCUUUUGAAACAAAUGAAGAGAAAGCUUUGUGGAACACUUUCUUGUCACUAAAAAGUAAAAUACAUCCAGACAUGGAAGUCGAUGAUUUUGUUGAAGCAUCAUCAGUACUUGUAGAACCGCUGGAGGAUUUUUUCAACGAGGUCUUUGUAAUGGUGGAUGACGAACGGGUCAGAACAAAUCGGCUUGCACUGCUGAAGAAAAUAGCAGACUUGCCAAGGGGAAUAGUAGAUCUUUCAGUUUUACCGGGAUUUUGAAGUAUGUACCAGUGUCCGCUUAGUUUGUGCCAUACUAUCAUCUGAGGCAUCAAAGAAGAACAGCUAUUGCCCAUAAGCGGAGGAGAAAACAGUAAACAGACUAAUGUUUUUUCCGCGGAGGCAGCUACAACCACAACAGAGCGAACUAGAGGAGAAACUGUUACAUAAAUCUGGUAACGAUGUCAUAAUUUUGACUGUUGUACAAGUAUGUAACAAGUGAAUGAAUAAUAAAAUGAACUAUCGCUUGUAUGUUCACAUUGUCUGAGGAAUAUAUAUCAUUUUGUUUUAAG